GUGCUCGCUUCAGCAACACAUAUACUAAAAUUGGAACAAUACAGAGAUCAGCAUGGCCCCUGUGCAAGGAUGACACACAAAUUUAUGAAGCGUUCUAUAUAUAU